GACGAAUGCUGGCGGCGUGCUUAACACAUGCAAGUCGAGCGAUGAAGCACCUUCGGGUGUGAAUUAGCGGCGAACGGGUGAGGAACACGUGAGAAAUCUGCCUUCAACACUGGGAUAACUCCGGGAAACCGGGGCGAAUACCGGAUAUGAAACCUGCGGGCAUCCGCGGGUUUGGAGAGCUUUUCGGUUGAAGAUGAUCUCGCGGCCUAUCAGCUUGUUGGUGAGGUAAUGGCUCACCAAGGCGACGGCGGGUAGCCGGCCUGAGCGGGCGACCGGCCACACCGGGACUGAGACACGGCCCAGACGCCGACGGGAGGCAGCAGUGGGGAAUAUUGGGCAAUGGAGGAAACUCUGACCCAGCGACGCCGCGUGCGGGAUGAAGGCCUUCGGGUUGUAAGCCGCUUUCAGCAGGGAAGAAGCGAAAGUGACGGUACCUGCAGAAGAAGCACCGGCUAACUAUGUGCCAGCCGCCGCAGUAA
rnacentral:rRNA from 1 species